GGACGGGUGCUCGAGUGGUUUAAGAGGCACGCCUGGAAAGCGUGUAAACGGUUUACGCCGUUUCGAGGGUUCGAAUCCCUCCCUGUCCG
rnacentral:tRNA from 1 species